rnacentral:rRNA from 1 species
UACGGAGGGUGCAAGCGUUAAUCGGAAUUACUGGGCGUAAAGCGCGCGCAGGCGGCUUGGUAAGUCGGAUGUGAAAUCCCGAGGCUCAACCUCGGGUCUGCAUCCGAUACUGCCCGGCUAGAGGUAGGUAGGGGAGAUCGGAAUUCCUGGUGUAGCGGUGAAAUGCGCAGAUAUCAGGAGGAACACCGGUGGCGAAGGCGGAUCUCUGGGCCUUACCUGACGCUCAGGCGCGAAAGCUAGGGGAGCGAACUGG